rnacentral:rRNA from 1 species
GCUUAAGGCCAUACCACCCUGAGCACGCCUGAUCUCGUCUGAUCUCGGAAGCUAAGCAGGGUCGGGCCUGGUUAGUACUUGGAUGGGAGACCGCCUGGGAAUACCAGGUGCUGUAAGCU